UGGGCAGCUAUUAGAAGAAAAAAAAAGGUUGGUUUUCAAGUAUAUUGUUCUACUUGGCCAUUGUACAUCAGAUUGUGUAUUAUGGAAAUUUGUUGUUCUACUUGGCCAUUGUACAUCAGAUUGUGUAUUGUCUCAACUCUCUUCAAGUUAAAUUUUUUUUUAUGGUUCAAUGUUCACCACAUCUAAUUCACCAUGUUAUCAUUCCUCUCCAAGUGAAGUCCUAAGAAAAUAGUGUUACCUGAGUGGGCUUAUUGUGUAAAUAUGUACAUGUGUUGAUCUAAACAGUUCAUCAUCAUUUUGAUAGUGCUCAUCCUAUUUGUAGUGGCCGACAUCUAAUUCAAUUUGUUUUGUUGGUUAUUGUAGAGAAUUAAUUUCCCUUUUUUUUUUUUUGAACCUGUGGCAAUGUUAAAGCAGAUAUUUUUAUUUUGUAAUGGAUUUUAUCAUGUACACAACAUUUUUAAUGGCCAAUACUUUACUCUUUGUAUAGUUGUAAACAGAGAUGUUACAAUAUUUUUUUUUUUUUUUUAAAUAGAUGCCACACAAUUUAUGCGUUUUUGAAUAUUUUUAUGACAUAAUGACUCUGCAGCUAAAAGGUUAGAAGUGCAUAUCUAAGCAUUGUGUGUGACUAGAAUAUUUAAAAUAAGAACUUGCUGUGUUCAAAGAUGAAUCACUUGACCAGUUUUUGUUUGAGAUUUAACAAUUUUUUUUUAAAUGUCUUUAAAAUGAGUAAAUAUGGUCACAAGAUAUAGCUAUGAGACCUUUGAUACUGACAGUUGAUAAUCAGAGCUUUGCAGAAAUGUAGAUGACAUUACCAGUUGGCCAAUUUUCCGUGUAAUUAUUUAAUUUGGUUUACGAGAUCCCCCCCCCCCCCCCUCCCU